GGGAACUGUAGAGGACGGUGGGGCAGUAGAGAGAACAGGCACAGAGAUCCUGAGAGUGACACACAGGGAACUGUAGAGGACGGUGGGGCAGUAGAGAGAACAGGUACAGAGAGAUCCUGAGAGUGACACACAGGGAACUGUAGAGGACGGUGGGGCAGUAGAGAGAACAGGCACAGAGAGAUCCUGGGAGAGACACACAGGGAACUGUAGAGGACGGUGGGGCAGUAGAGAGAACAGGCACAGAGAGAUCCUGA
ensembl:lncRNA